rnacentral:misc_RNA from 1 species
UUUCCGUAGGUGAACCUGCGGAAGGAUCAUUACCGAGUGAGGGUCUCUCAGGCCCGACCUCCCACCCCCUGUUUUUGUGACCUUGUUGCUUUGGCGGGCCCGCCUCGUUCAGAGUCCUCCGCCAGCUCACCGCUUUGGGCUCGUGCUCGUCUGUAACCCCCUUAAAUUCUUAAUAAAACUUACAACUGACUUCAUGGAUAUACUGAAAAAAAACUUUCAACAACGGCUCUCUUGGUUCUGGCAUCGCAGAAGAACGCAGCAGAUCGGAAGUGCACACAC